AUACUCAAAGCAAGUGAUGAUUUUGGGUGAAUUUCUCUUUGAGCUUUUGUCAGAAGCUCUAGGGCUGAACCCUAAUCACCUCAAGGACAUGGAUUGCCUAAAGGGUUUGCGCAUGCUUUGCCAUUACUUCCCACCGUGUCCAGAGCCUGACCUAACUUUUGGCACAAGUCCGCACUCCGACAGCUCUUUUCUUACCAUCCUCCUUCCAGAUCAGAUCAAAGGGCUUCAGGUUCUUCGUGAAGGGUACUGGUUCGAUGUUCCUCAUGUUCCAGGCGCUCUCAUCAUCAACAUCGGAGAUCUUUUACAGGCAUGUUUACCAAUGCUUUCUUUUCCUCAGUUUUGCAUUCUAUAGAUAAUCUUCCCUUUAACUCAAAGUUUCUUUUGGGGGUUUGUGAUUUUGAUGCAGCUUAUAACAAACGACAAAUUCAUCAGUUUGGGGCAUCGAGUAUUGGCGAACAGAGCCACAAGAGCUCGAGUCUCUGUCGCAUGUUUCUUCACCACCCAUGUAAAACCCAAUCCUAGAGUGUAUGGACCCAUUAAAGAGCUUGUGUCCGAAGAAAACCCUCCAAAGUACAGAGAGACCACCAUUACAAACUACGCUACUUACUUCAAUGGCAAAGGACUUGGCGGAACCUCUGCUUUGCUCCAUUUUAAAGUAUGAAACAUGGCGAGCUACUACUUUCUCAAACAUAUACGACAUGACAGUAUAUGUAACAUGUUGGAAUUAUGUGAACCAAAUGUGGAAUUUAUGGAUUAUACUACAUUGUCAUUUCAGUUUGGUCCAUAUAAGGUGCAAUCGGAUAUGGUUAAUCGAUUAGAUGUCAAUAUUGGAUAUGAACAAGUUGGUUAUAUGCAUAUACACUAGAUUGGAUGGGUUGAAUUAUUAGAUGACAAUAUUUAAGAUUGGUUAAAUAAUGGUUCACUGGUUGGUUAAGUAAUGGUCUCUAGAUAUGUUUGCAUGUUUUCAUGAUUUGGUGUUAGUUCACUGUAAUUCAUGGAUUUAAAGGUCUUGGGAUUUUUUCAAGCAUGCAUAAGAUUAGUUGACGUUUUUUGCUUUAUCAUAAAAUCAUAAGGUUUUUGAAUCAUAUAUCAUGCAUGUUUCUGGAUUAAAAAUCACAAGAAAGCAUGUUUUUUUUGAAAAUAAAUUUAGUCUUUAAAGACCAUUUGUUGAAAACAAUAAAAGUUCCGUACUUAAUUCAAUUUCAAGAUAGUUAGGCGUAGAAUACAAGAAAGAAAACAAUUUUUUUGAAAGACAAGUGUUGUUUUCUUGUCUGAACAAAACCAACCCAAAUAUAGAGAGACACCACCAUUACUCCAUUACAGAGAAUGCAAACUUCGUUUUAUAUAUAUAUAUAUACUGUAUCAUUUUGACUAAUAAAGUUGCGUGGGAGAUUGAUUCUCUUAAUUCUGUAAUAACUUGUUGUUGACUAAAAGACUUGUCUGGUCCGCUCACUGCCACAAGCGGUUGUUUUUGUCUAUAAACCUUAUCUCUUACCAAUGGUUUUGCUGUAGCAACCGGUCACAUCUUUGAACUUAAGAAAAAUGUUUCAUUCUUGUUUUUAUAGAUUUUUAUGUUAUGCCUGAUUGUAUCAUAUUGUUCUGUUCUUCGAGAAACUAAAACUAUGGAGACGACGAAGAUUGCUUCUUCAUUCGAUCGUGCCAGUGAGCUCAAAGCUUUUGAUGAGACAAAAACGGGUGUGAAAGGACUCGUCGACUCCGGAAUUUCACAGAUUCCACGCAUCUUCCAUCACUCAUCUGUCAAACUAGAGAACCCUAAGCCACUUUCCUCGGACUUGCUACAUCUCAAGACGAUCCCAACGAUCGAUCUUGGAGGACGGGUUUUCGAGGAUGCGAGUAAGCGCAAGAACGCGGUUGAAAGAAUUAAAGAAGCAUCAGAGAAGUGGGGUUUCUUCCAGGUAAUUAACCAUGGAGUUCCACUUGAUCUUCUUGAGAAGAUGAAAGAUGGAGUUCGUGGGUUUCACGAGCAAUCCCCUGAAGUGAGGAAAGAUUUCUACAGUCGCGAUUUAACUAGAAAGUUUCAGUAUUCAAGUAAUUUCGAUCUCUAUAGUUCUCCAGCUGCAAACUGGAGAGACACGGUUGCUUGUACCAUGGCUCCAGAUCCUCCGAAUCCACAAGAUAUUCCAGAGAUUUGUAGGUAUGACUCCAUUGCUUUAACUUUAUUUGAUGUGUAAUCUCUAUUCAUAUAUGGUGAAUUGUUUCAGGGAUGUCACGAUGGAAUAUUCAGAGCAAGUGAUGAAUUUGGGUGAAUUUCUCUUUACGCUUUUAUCAGAAGCUCUAGGGUUGAACCCUAAUCACCUCAAUGACAUGGAUUGCUCUAAGGGUUUGGUCAUGCUUUGCCAUUACUACCCACCAUGUCCAGAGCCUGACCUAACUUUAGGCACAAGUCAGCACGCCGACAAUACUUUUCUUACCGUUCUUCUUCCAGAUCAGAUCGAAGGGCUUCAGGUUCUUCGUGAAGGGUAUUGGUUCAAUGUUCCUCAUGUUCCCGGAGCUCUAAUCAUCAACAUUGGAGAUCUUCUACAGGCAAGUUUGCACAACCAAUACAUUUUUGCUCUGUUUUGCACAAGUAUAAAUCUUCCUCUUGGUUCAAAGAUUUUUUAUUGGGAUUUUGAUGCAGCUUGUAACAAACGACAAGUUCAUCAGUUUGGAGCACAGAGUAUUGGCGAACAGAGCCACAAGAGCUCGAGUCUCUGUAGCAGGUUUCUUCACCACCGCCAUGAGACCGAAUCCUACACUGUACGGACCCAUUAGAGAGCUUGUGUCUGAAGACAACCCUCCAAAGUACAGAGAGACCACUAUUAGAGACUACACUGUUCACUUCAGUGCCAAAGGACUUGACGGAACCUCUGCUUUGCUCCAUUUUAAAAUAUGAAACAUGGCCAGCUAGCUUCUACUUUAUCACACAUAUAUGACAUGAUAUAUAUAUGUAACAUGUUGGAUAUGUGUGAACCACAUGCAUGUGGAAUUUAUGAAAUAAAGAUUGUUAUUUCGGUUUAGUCCAAAUAAGGUGUGAUUGGUUAUGGUGGUUAAAAGAUAUGUUUCUUUGUAGCUAUGAUUAAACUAUUACAGAGUAUGCAAAGUUCUACAGAUCCAAAGGAUUCGAUGGUACCUCUGGAUUACUUUAUCUCAAGAUCUGAGAAUGCCAUAUACUGUAUCAUUUUGUCUAACAGAUGCGUGAGACUAAUUUGAUUUUUUUCUUUUCUGUAAUAACCUCUUGUUAAUUACUUAAGUCUGCUCCAGUCACUGUCACAAGCGGUUGUUUUUGUCAAGCAACCUUAUCUCUAAUCAAUGGUUUUGCUGUAUCAACUGGUCCAAUCUUUGAACUUAAGAAAAAAGUUUCUUUCUUGUUUUUAUGGAUUCUUAAGUUAUGUGGGAUUGUAUCAUAUUGUUCUGUUUUUCGAGAAACUAAAACUAUGGAGACGACGAAGAUUGCUUCUUCAUUCGAUCGUGCCGGUGAGCUUAAAGCUUUCGAUGAAACGAAAACGGGUGUGAAAGGACUCGUUGACGCAGGAGUUUCACAAAUUCCGCGCAUCUUUCAUCAUCCAUCUGUCAAAUUAUCAAACCAUAAACCACUUUCCUCAGACUUGGUACAUCUCAAGACGAUCCCAACGAUUGAUCUAGGAGGAAGGAUCGUUGAGGACACGAGCAAGCGCAAGAACGCGAUUGAAGGGAUUAAAGAAGCAGCAGAGAAGUGGGGUUUCUUCCAGGUGAUCAACCAUGGAGUUUCGCUUGAUCUUCUUGAGAAGAUGAAAGAUGGAGUUCGUGACUUUCACGAGCAAUCCCCUGAAGUGAGGAAAGAAUUCUAUAGUCGCGAUUUCAGCAGAAGGUUUCUGUAUUCAAGUAAUUUCGAUCUCUUCAGUUCUCCAGCUGCAAAUUGGAGAGACACUUUCUCUUGUACUAUGGCUCCAGAUACUCCAAAACCACAGGAUCUUCCGGAGAUUUGUAGGUAUGACUCCAUUGCCCUAACUUGAUUUCAUGUGUACUCUUUGUUCAUAUGGUGAAUCACUAAAUUGUUUCAGGGAUGUUAUGAUGGAAUACUCAAAGCAAGUGAUGAUUUUGGGUAAAUUUCUCUUUGAGCUUUUAUCAGAAGCUCUAGGGUUGGAACCUAAUCACCUCAAUAACAUAGAUUGCUCCAAGGGUUUGCUCAUGCUCUCCCAUUACUACCCACCGUGUCCAGAGCCUGACCUAACUUUUGGCACAAGUCAGCACUCUGACAACUCUUUCCUUACCGUCCUUCUCCCCGAUCAGAUCGAAGGGCUUCAGGU
rnacentral:lncRNA from 1 species